AGAGUUUGAUCCUGGCUCAGAGUGAACGCUGGCGGCGUGCCUAAUACAUGCAAGUCGAACGAUGAAGCUUCUAGCUUGCUAGAAGUGGAUUAGUGGCGCACGGGUGAGUAACGCAUAGAUAACAUGCCCUUUAGUCUGGGAUAGCCACUGGAAACGGUGAUUAAUACUGGAUACUCCCUACGGGGGAAAGUUUUUCGCUAAAGGAUUGGUCUAUGUCCUAUCAGCUUGUUGGUGAGGUAAUGGCUCACCAAGGCUAUGACGGGUAUCCGGCCUGAGAGGGUGAUCGGACACACUGGAACUGAGACACGGUCCAGACUCCUACGGGAGGCAGCAGUAGGGAAUAUUGCUCAAUGGGGGAAACCCUGAAGCAGCAACGCCGCGUGGAGGAUGAAGGUUUUAGGAUUGUAAACUCCUUUUGUGAGAGAAGAUAAUGACGGUAUCUCACGAAUAAGCACCGGCUAACUCCGUGCCAGCAGCCGCGGUAAUACGGAGGGUGCAAGCGUUACUCGGAAUCACUGGGCGUAAAGAGUGCGCAGGCGGGCUUGUAAGUCAGAUGUGAAAUCCUGUAGCUUAACUACAGAACUGCAUUUGAAACUAUAAGUCUAGAGUGUGGGAGAGGUAGGUGGAAUUCUUGGUGUAGGGGUAAAAUCCGUAGAGAUCAAGAGGAAUACUCAUUGCGAAGGCGGCCUACUGGAACAUUACUGACGCUCAUGCACGAAAGCGUGGGGAGCAAACAGGAUUAGAUACCCUGGUAGUCCACGCCCUAAACGAUGAAUGCUAGUUGUUGUGGAGCUUGUCUCUGCAGUAAUGCAGCUAACGCAUUAAGCAUUCCGCCUGGGGAGUACGGUCGCAAGAUUAAAACUCAAAGGAAUAGACGGGGACCCGCACAAGCGGUGGAGCAUGUGGUUUAAUUCGAAGAUACGCGAAGAACCUUACCUAGGCUUGACAUUGAUAGAAUCUGCUAGAGAUAGCGGAGUGCUGGCUUGCCAGAGCUUGAAAACAGGUGCUGCACGGCUGUCGUCAGCUCGUGUCGUGAGAUGUUGGGUUAAGUCCCGCAACGAGCGCAACCCUCGUCCUUAGUUGCUAGCAGCUCGGCUGAGCACUCUAAGGAGACUGCCUUCGUAAGGAGGAGGAAGGUGAGGACGACGUCAAGUCAUCAUGGCCCUUACGCCUAGGGCUACACACGUGCUACAAUGGGGUGCACAAAGAGAUGCAAUACUGCGAAGUGGAGCAAAUCUCUAAAACAUCUCUCAGUUCGGAUUGUAGUCUGCAACUCGACUACAUGAAGCUGGAAUCGCUAGUAAUCGCAAAUCAGCCAUGUUGCGGUGAAUACGUUCCCGGGUCUUGUACUCACCGCCCGUCACACCAUGGGAGUUGUAUUCGCCUUAAGUCGGAAUGCUAAAUUGGCUACCGCCCACGGCGGAUGCAGCGACUGGGGUGAAGUCGUAACAAGGUAACCGUAGGUGAACCUGC
rnacentral:rRNA from 1 species